AUACGGAAGGUCCGGGCGUUAUCCGGAUUUAUUGGGUUUAAAGGGAGCGCAGGCGGAGAUGCAAGCGUGACGUCAAAUUUCGGGGCUCAACCCCAGUCUCGCGUCGCGAACUGCGUCCCCUGGUUGCGGGAAGGGGAGGCGGAACUCGUGGUGUAGCGGUGAAAUGCAUAGAUAUCACGAAGAACUCCGAUCGCGAAGGCAGCCUUCCGGCCCGUCAACGACGCUCAUGCUCAAAGUUGCUGGUAACAAACAGGAUUAGAUACCCUGGUAGACCGCACAAUAAACGAUGGACACCCGCGGUUUGGCCUGUAUGGCUGAGCCGCCAAGCGAAAGCGUUAAGUGUCCCACCUGGGGAGUACGCCGGCAACGGUGAAACUCAAAUGAAUUGGCGGGG
rnacentral:rRNA from 1 species